CAGGAAGCUGUGCCCUGAACUGGAGAUACAAGAGAGAAAAGCAAACCAUUUUAGCCAGCAAGAACAUGAUCAUCCUCUCAAGGUAUAAAUUUGGAGGAUCAAAUAUUUCAGACCCUUUUCAUUAAAGAAGGUGCCCACUAAUUCCUUCCACAAUCUACAAAGUAAAAUAUAUAGGAAGGAUUUUUUUUCUCCAAAGUGUAACCUGAUCAGACAGCUAUUUAUUGUUUGCACCAGUCAGUCUUUUUUUGAGUGUGUUAUUUAUUUGAGAGAAAUGUUUUCCUUUUCAAGCCAUGGGCCAGGCCAUUUGUUUUCUCACUUGGUGUUCUUUUUGCCUCAAGUCGUCCCUAACGACUGCCAUCUUUUAGAUUAUUCUCCUUAAGAAGCAUGACUUCCUCCUCCCCUCUACUGUCGUCAUGAUCACCACCAUCACCAAACACCAGCAUGUAGCACAGAUUGCGGCCUAAGUUCUUGGAGAGAAGCCAGUGCAUUUGUCAGGAAUUGAAAAGUUUUGGAGCUGGUUCGCAGAGUUUCUGGUACACAAAGUGUUGGCUUGGAAGCAUGAAAUAACCAACUUCUGUCUCAAGUGAAAGAGAAGAAAUGAUGUCUGCUCUUCAUCUAGGAAAGGAAAAUCUGGACAAAAACAGGUGAUCUGGUAUGCAAAGAGAAAGAGAGAGAUUGAGAGAGAGAAAGGACUGCCUGGCCAGCGGCUCUGGAAUGCCUAAAGGAUAAUUUCAGGGUAUAGAAAUGUGUCCCCAGGAGAUGUAGUGGAUGUAGGGGUGGGAAACUUCCAUCUACUGCUAUUGCAGAAGGUAAGCCAA
rnacentral:lncRNA from 1 species